rnacentral:rRNA from 1 species
GAGCCCAAGAUUGAAAGCUGGCGUCUUCGGCGUCCGCAUUGUAAUCUCAAGAAGUGUUUUCCGCUUCGGACCAAGCCUAAGUCCCCUGGAAAGGGGCAUCAUAGAGGGUGAUAAUCCCGUACAUGGCUUGGAGCGCCCGAGGCUUUGUGAUACGCUUUCUAAGAGUCGAGUUGUUUGGGAAUGCAGCUCAAAAUGGGUGGUAAAUGCCAUCUAAGGCUAAAUAUUGGGGAGAGACCGAUAGCGAACAAGUACAGUGAUGGGAAGAUGAAAAGAACUUUGAAAAGAGAGUUAAACAGUACGUGAAAUUGCCAAAAGGGAAGGGUAGGAGGUCAGAGAUGCGGCCUGGGAUUCAGCCUUGCUUUUGCUUGGUGUUUUUCCCAGAUUGCAGGCCAACGUCGGUUUUGGGCACUGGAGAAGGGUAGGAGGAACGUGGCACCCCUCGGGGUGUGUUAUAGCCUCCUACUGGAUACAGCGACCGAGACCGAGGACAGCAGCGUACUCGCAAGAGCGGGCCUUCGGGCACCUUUACGCUUAGGGCGGUGGCAUGAUGGCCCUCUACACCCGUCUUGA